GUGGUUCAGUGGUAGAAUGCUCGCCUGCCACGCGGGCGGCCCGGGUUCGAUUCCUUUUUUUUUUUUUUACA